GACGAACGCUGGCGGCGUGCUUAACACAUGCAAGUCGAACGGAAAGGCCCUGCUUUUGUGGGGUGCUCGAGUGGCGAACGGGUGAGUAACACGUGAGUAACCUGCCCUUGACUUUGGGAUAACUUCAGGAAACUGGGGCUAAUACCGGAUAGGAGCUCCUGCUGCAUGGUGGGGGUUGGAAAGUUUCGGCGGUUGGGGAUGGACUCGCGGCUUAUCAGCUUGUUGGUGGGGUAGGGGCUUACCAAGGCUUUGACGGGUAGCCGGCCUGAGAGUGUGACCGGCCACAAUGGGACUGAGAUACGGCCCAGACUGCUACGGGAGGCAGCAGUGGGGAAUAUUGCACAAUGGGCGGAAGCCUGAUGCAGCAACGCCGCGUGCGGGAUGACGGCCUUCGGGUUGUAAACCGCUGUCGCCUGUGACGAAGCGUGAGUGACGGUAAUGGGUAAAGAAGCACCGGCUAACUACGUG
rnacentral:rRNA from 1 species